rnacentral:RNase_P_RNA from 1 species
CGAGUCGGCCGGGUGAUCGCGGCGCAAGUCGAGGAAAGUCCGGACUCCACAGAGCAGGGUGGUGGGUAACGCCCACCCGGGGUGACCCGCGGGAAAGUGCCACAGAGAACAGACCGCCCCGCAAGGGGUAAGGGUGAAACGGCGGUGUAAGAGACCACCGCGCUCCAGGUGACUGGAGUGGCAAGGCAAACCCCACCUGGAGCAAGGCCAAGAAGGACUCACGUCUUCGGACGCUGGGUCUGCGGACACCGUUUGAGCGCUGCUCGCGCGAGGUGCCCGGGUAGGUCGCACGCCUACGGGCGGAGGCGGUUGGCAACAACCGUCACAGAUGGAUGAUCACCGACCCCUCGGGGUCACAGAAUCCGGCUUACAGGCCGGCUCGUCCC